CAGUGUUAAAUCCUGUGGUAGAUGUGGAGUAGUAUUAGAGUGGAAGUGUGUGUGUGUAGCAGUGUUAAAUCCUGAGGUAGAUGUGGAGUAGUAUUAGAGUGGAAGUGUGUGUGUAGCAGUGUUAAAUCCUGAGGUAGAUGUGGAGUAGUAUUAGAGUGGAAGUGUGUGUGUGUAGCAGUGUUAAAUCCUGUGGUAGAUGUGGAGUAGUAUUAGAGUGGAAGUGUGUGUGUGUGUAGCAGUGUUAAAUCCUGAGGUAGAUGUGGAGUAGUAUUAGAGUGGAAGUGUGUGUGUGUGUAGCAGUGUUAAAUCCUAUGGUAGAUGUGGAGUAGUAUUAGAGUGGAAGUGUGUGUGUGUGUGUAGCAGUGUUAAAUCCUGUGGUAGAUGUGGAGUAGUAUUAGAGUUGAAGUGUGUGUGUGUAGCAGUGUUAAAUCCUGAGGUAGAUGUGGAGUAGUAUUAGAGUGGAAGUGUGUGUGUGUAGCAGUGUUAAAUCCUGUGGUAGAUGUGGAGUAGUAUUAGAGUGGAAGUGUGUGUGUGUAGCAGUGUUAAAUCCUGUGGUAGAUGUGGAGUAGUAUUAGAGUGGAAGUGUGUGUGUAGCAGUGUUAAAUCCUGAGGUAGAUGUGGAGUAGUAUUAGAGUGGAAGUGUGUGUGUAGCAGUGUUAAAUCCUGUGGUAGAUGUGGAGUAGUAUUAGAGUGGAAGUGUGUGUGUGUAGCAGUAGUGUUAAAUCCUGAGGUAGAUGUGGAGUAGUAUUAGAGUGGAAGUGUGUGUGUGUAGCAGUGUUAAAUCCUGAGGUAGAUGUGGAGUAGUAUUAGAGUGGAAGUGU